rnacentral:rRNA from 1 species
AACAAACGCUGGCGGCGUGCCUAAUACAUGCAAGUCGAACGGGGUAGCAAUACCUAGUGGCGCACGGGUGAGGAACGCGUGGAUAAUCUGCCUUAGAGUGGGGGAUAACUAGUCGAAAGAUUAGCUAAUACCGCAUAAGACCACAGGAGCUGCGGCUCUAGGGGUCAAAGGUUUUUCGCUCUAAGAUGAGUCCGCGUAAGAUUAGCUAGGUGGUGAGGUAACGGCUCACCAAGGCGACGAUCUUUAACUGGUCUGAGAGGAUGAUCAGUCACACUGGAACUGGGACACGGUCCAGACUCCUACGGGAGGCAGCAGUAGGGAAUAUUGCACAAUGGAGGAAACUCUGAUGCAGCGACGCCGCGUGAGUGAUGAAGGCCUUCGGGUCGUAAAGCUCUGUCGCAGGGGAAUAACACAAUGAAUGUACCCUGUAAGAAAGGAUCGGCUAACUUCGUGCCAGCCGCCGCAGUAACAC